CGACUAAGCGUACACGGUGGAUGCCCUGGCAGUCAGAGGCGAUGAAGGACGUGCUAAUCUGCGAAAAGCGUCGGUAAGGUGAUAUGAACCGUUACAGCCGGCGAUGUCCGAAUGGGGAAACCCAGUGUGAUUCGUCACACUAUCGUUAACUGAAUACAUAGGUUAACGAGGCGAACCGGGGGAACUGAAACAUCUAAGUACCCCGAGGAAAAGAAAUCAACC
rnacentral:rRNA from 1 species